AUUGAACGCUGGCGGCAGGCCUAACACAUGCAAGUCGAACGAGUGGCGGACGGGUGAGUAAUAUAUCGGAACGUGCCCAGUGGCGGGGGAUAACUACUGGAAAGAGUGGCUAAUACCGCAUACUAUUGGAUCUGCCGAUAUGGGAUUAGCUAGUUGGUGGGGUAAAGGCUCACCAAGGCGACGAUCCCUAGCUGGUUUGAGAGGAUGACCAGCCACACUGGAACUGAGACACGGCCCAGACUCCUACGGGAGGCAGCAGUGGGGAAUAUUGCACAAUGGGCGCAAGCCUGAUGCAGCCAUGCCGCGUGUAUGAAGAAGGCCUUCGGGUUGUAAAGUACUUUCGGCGGGGAGGCGUUACCCGCAGAAGAAGCACCGGCUAACUCCGUGCCAGCAGCCGCGGUAAUAC
rnacentral:rRNA from 1 species